ACAAAAACAAGGGAGGAAUCUAUAAUUCCCUACAAGAACUUGAUAAGAUCUUGUUGGGAAAGGAUGAGAAGGUAUUAUCCAAACUGUAUCAAUUCCUCUUAAUGGAUUGGAUCGGAGAGGAGGUUAUCAAGGACUCAAUGAUUGCCUGGGGGAGAAAUUUGGGAUAUUCGAUAGAGCUUGAAAAAUGGGAAGAAAUUUGGGGGAAAACCCUAAAACUAACAAUGUCGGUUUCCUAUAAGGAAAAUACAUAUAAAAUGCUGUAUAGAUGGCACCUCCCUCCGGUUAAAUUAUCGAAGAUGUUCCCGGGAACCUCCCCGGUUUGUUGGAAAUGUAACACCGCUAUGGGAACUUAUUUUCUUAUCUGUUGGACCUGUCCCCGACCAGGAUCUCGUUUGCGCAAGAAUGGAAAUCCAAAAAUAUCCCAUUGGAGGCUAUGUUAACUGCAAAGAUCAUAGACUGUGCAGAGGCAGACAAGCUUACCGAACUUUUGCGAGAUAGACAAGAAUCGGGGCUAUAUAUGAGUUGGGACCGCUGGUAUGCUUGGCUGCAAAAAAGAAAUCUUAAGAAGAAUGUAAAAUAAUAAUCUUAGUGUGACUGUGGGUAAAUAUUUAUAGGAAUAUUGCAUGGCAGCUGAGAAUUCUUUCUUCUGGAUAAUCUUUUUUUGAUGAUUUGGUUUAAUGGAGGUUUGUACUAUUUCUAAGCAAAAAUUGAUGCCUUAAAACUCUAUAUCGAUUAUAUAACUCUGCAAUUCUAUCCAUAUUGCUAUAUUUUUUCCUGUAAUUUUUAAUAAUUUUCAAUAAAAAUUAAAAAACAAAGACAA